rnacentral:misc_RNA from 1 species
AACGCACAUUGCACCCUUUGGUAUUCCAGAGGGUAUGCCUGUUCGAGCGUCAUUUCAACCCUCAAGCUCAGCUUGGUAUUGGGUGUCACCUGGUUUAUGGUGCACCUUAAAAUCAGUGGCGGUGCCAUCUGGCUUCAAGCGUAGUAAAAAUUCUCGCUAUGGCGUCUGGAUUUGUGCUUGCCAAAUUAUCUAAUUUAUCAAAAGGUUGACCUCGGAUCAGGUAGGGAUACCCGCUGAACUUAA